GGGUGAGCUGACUGUAACAUAUCUCACCACGCUGAUCACCAGGCUUCAUUUGGCUGAUAGGGCUGGCUAGGCAUAUGUCCAUGUACAUCCAUCUCGAAGUUGCAUGCUUUGUGGAAGAGGAUGGCCAUCUCAUAUAGAGUUCCAGGGUUUUUGACAG